rnacentral:rRNA from 1 species
AUUGAACGCUGGCGGCAUGCCUUACACAUGCAAGUCGAACGGCAGCACGGGAGCAAUCCUGGUGGCGAGUGGCGAACGGGUGAGUAAAGUAUCGGAACGUGCCCAGUCGUGGGGGAUAACGUAGCGAAAGUUACGCUAAUACCGCAUACGAUCUAUAGAUGAAAGCGGGGGAUCGCAAGACCUCGCGCGAUUGGAGCGGCCGAUAUCAGAUUAGGUAGUUGGUGGGGUAAAGGCUCACCAAGCCGACGAUCUGUAGCUGGUCUGAGAGGACGACCAGCCAGACUGGGACUGAGACCCGGCCCAGACUCCUACGGGAGGCAGCAGUGGGGAAUUUGGGACAAUGGGCGAAAGCCUGAUCCAGCCAUGCCGCGUGCAGGAUGAAGGCCUUCGGGUUGUAAACUGCUUUUGUACGGAACGAAAAGGUUUGGCCUAAUAAGCUGAGCUCAUGACGGUACCGUAAGAAUAAGCACCGGCUAACUACGUGCCAGCCGCCGCCGUAA